UCUCCUAGCUCAACUAGGAAACUGCCAUUGAUACUGUAGGGCUUGAAUUAUUAGGAAGUAACUAGAAUAUGUAGUGUAGCGGUGAAAUGCUUAGAUAUUACAUGGAAUACCAAUUGCGAAGGCAGGUUACUACUAAUUGAUUGACGCUGAUGGACGAAAGCGUGGGUAGCGAACAGGAUUAGAUACCCUGGUAGUCCACGCCGUAAACGAUGGAUACUAGCUGUUCGGAGCAAUCUGAGUGGCUAAGCGAAAGUGAUAAGUAUCCCACCUGGGGAGUACGAACGCAAGUUUGAAACUCAAAGGAAUUGACGGGGGCCCGCACAAGCGGUGGAGCAUGUGGUUUAAUUCGAUGAUACGCGAGGAACCUUACCAAGGCUUAAAUGGGAAACGACAGAUUUGGAAACAGAUUUUUCUUCGGACGUUUUUCAAGGUGCUGCAUGGUUGUCGUCAGCUCGUGCCGUGAGGUGUCAGGUUAAGUCCUAUAACGAGCGCAACCCCUGUCGUUAGUUGCCAGCGAGUCAUGUCGGGAACUCUAACGAGACUGCCAGUGUAAACUGUGAGGAAGGUGGGGAUGACGUCAAAUCAUCACGGCCCUUACGCCUUGGGCCACACACGUGCUACAAUGGACGGUACAGAGAGCAGCUACUGGGUGACCAGAUGCGAAUCUUCAAAACCGUUCUCAGUUCGGAUCGAAGUCUGCAACUCGACUUCGUGAAGCUGGAAUCGCUAGUAAUCGGAUAUCAGCCAUGAUCCGGUGAAUACGUUCCCGGGCCUUGUACACACCGCCCGUCAAGCCAUGGAAGCUGGGGGUACC
rnacentral:rRNA from 1 species